UACAGAGGGUGCAAGCGUUAAUCGGAAUUACUGGGCGUAAAGCGUGCGUAGGCGGUAUAAUUAGUCAGUUGUGAAAUCCCCGGGCUUAACCUGGGAACUGCACCUGAUACUGUUAUACUAGAGUAUGGUAGGGGAUAGUGGAAUUUCCGGUGUAGCGGUGAAAUGCGUAGAUAUCGGAAGGAACACCAGUGGCGAAGGCGACUGUCUGGGCCAAUACUGACGCUGAGGUACGAAAGCGUGGGUAGCAAACAGG
rnacentral:rRNA from 1 species